UAGGGAAUCUUCCGCAAUGGGCGAAAGCCUGACGGAGCAACGCCGCGUGAGUGAUGAAGGUCUUCGGAUCGUAAAACUCUGUUAUUAGGGAAGAACAAAUGUGUAAGUAACUAUGCACGUCUUGACGGUACCUAAUCAGAAAGCCACGGCUAACUACGUGCCAGCAGCCGCGGUAAUACGUAGGUGGCAAGCGUUAUCCGGAAUUAUUGGGCGUAAAGCGCGCGUAGGCGGUUUUUUAAGUCUGAUGUGAAAGCCCACGGCUCAACCGUGGAGGGUCAUUGGAAACUGGAAAACUGGAGUGCAGAAGAGGAAAGUGGAAUGCCAGGUGUAGCGGUGAAAUGCGCAGAGAUAUGGAGGAACACCAGUGGCGAAGGCGACUUUCUGGUCUGUAACUGACGCUGAUGUGCGAAAGCGUGGGGAUCAAACAGG
rnacentral:rRNA from 1 species